AUCGAACGCUGGCGGCAGGCCUAACACAUGCAAGUCGAACGAGUGGCGGACGGGUGAGUAAUGUCUGGGAAACUGCCUGUUGGAUGGGGAUAACUACUGGAAACGGUAGCUAAUCCCGCAUACCAUCAGAUGUGCGCAGAUGGGAUUAGCUGGUAGGUGGGGUAACGGCGCACCUAGGCGACGAUCCCUAGCUGGUCUGAGAGGAUGACCAGCCACACUGGGACUGAGACACGGUCCAGACUCCUACGGGAGGCAGCAGUGGGGAAUAUUGCACAAUGGGCGCAAGCCUGAUGGAGCCAUGCCGCGUGUAUGAAGAAGGCCUUCGGUUUGUAAAGUUCUUUCAGCGGGGAGGCGUUACCCGCAGAAAAAGCACCGGCUAACUCCGUGCCAGCAGCCGCGGUAAUUC
rnacentral:rRNA from 1 species